rnacentral:rRNA from 1 species
GACGAACGCUGGCGGCGUGCCUAAUACAUGCAAGUAGAGCGCAGUUGCGAACGGGUGAGUAACGCGUAGGUAACUGCCUCAUGGCGGGGGAUAACUAUUGGAAACGAUAGCUAAUACCGCAUACUGUGAGCUGGACCUGCGUUGUAUUAGCUAGUUGGUGAGGUAAAGGCUCACCAAGGCGACGAUCCAUAGCAGACCUGAGAGGGUGAUCCGGUACACUGGGACGGAGAAACGGCCCAGACUUCUACGGGAGGCAGGCGUAGGGAAUAUUUGGCAAUGGACCGAAGGCUGACCGAGCAACGCCGCGUUAGGUAAGAAGGUUCUCGGAUCGGUAAGCUAUGUUGUUAGAGAAGCGGUAACUAACGAGAAAGGGACGGCUAACUACGUGCCAGCAGCCGCGGUAAUAC